rnacentral:lncRNA from 1 species
UCUUUCCUUCUUCCUCAUCCUAUUUCUUCACCAGUGAGACUUAAAUGUAAGCACAGAUGUAGGGAUGGAGGAUGGAGGCUCCAGCCCAGCAGCAGAGUGGUGCUGACCAGCAAGGCAUGGAAGUCCUCCUAUGUCACUGAGGCUCAUCUUCCAGCAGAGAUGCAGGAAAAUCCCAGUGAAGUCUUCAAAAUCAAGAGGCUAGUGAACUCAGCAGGCUGUGCCUGGAUAUCUCUGACUCUAGAAUGAAGCCUGCUCAGAGGCAGAGGGGAAAUCAGUCAGUUGAUUAGAGAAAAGCCUUUAGCUCUGCCACUUAAAAACAAACUUACAAAUUACCUGAUGGGCUUUGGGACAACAUGAGGAAGCCUCAGAAGACUAGGGUCAACUUCCUAGCAAGUUUUGUUCUAAGAAGAGGGGGAGGAGGAAGCCCUGUAUUUCAGCAAAUAGCUGGGAGAGGUGGAACGAGCCAAGUGAAAAGUCAGAUGAAGUUGGCAGCCCCAGGUAAUCUUCACAAAAAUUACUGGGAGAAAACCAGGGGGAGGGAUGAAGCUGUUGAUGGGAGGUUCUGUUCCUGGUGGGGAUGGAGGGUUGCUGUUCUGCUGCAGAACUUGGAAAGCCAAGUCAAGCCAUGGGGCUUGAUUUAGUUUGGCUUGGUCUUUCUCAGACAGAGCAUUUGACAGGCACCUGCAGGGCUCUCUCUGGACCCCAGAGAGCUCAGACUACAAAUCAUCAUUAGCAAUAGGUUCACAGCUUGGGUUAAGAAAUGAUAAGGGAAUACAUCCAUCUGCAGCAGAUGAAGAAACCAGGAGGCACUAUUUUCUGCACAGAAGCCAGACAGCAGCCACAUGACAGAUUUAAAAUGUCUUGGGCCAUUUUGAAGAAUUACAGGGAAAAGAUAAAUGGUUAUAAGGAAAGCAGAGCCCUUAAUUUUGUUUGGAAGUUGAUUAUAAUUGCGGAUUCCAUUGCCAUCUGGGGUGUGGGAACCCUUGAGAAUAGAAAAGGUGAAUUCGGAAGUUUUAACACACAGCCUAUACAUGGUGAAGAGACAUGAAAUGCCAUGAAACCUGGAGGUGCCACCAAUGCAAGUUACACACUUGUCAGCCAACAGUGGGGCUUUGGAUGCCAUUUUUUCAAGGUGAAAGGCAGUCUGUAUAAAGGGUAGAAGGUGUCCCUAGAACAUAGAAACUCUACGUCACAACCCAUUGACUGGAGACAGCUUUUAAUUGAGCAUGGAUUUUUGAGGUUAGACUCUGAUUAAAUUAUAGACUUUUAAUGACAACUUGUAGGAGCUGAACCAGGACGCGUGCUGCUCUUUUCUCUUUUCAAUUCCUUGUCCAUCAUCCUCCUCUACACACCACAAGCCAUAUGCCAUAGUCUGUAACUGGUGACAACAGUACAGAUUUAAACCGCAGGAGAGGCAUCAGGCUCUGAAAUCUCUGCAUUUCCAAAAUAGCUGUUUGGACUGUAAGCUGACCAAAUAGGAUUUAGGAUUUGGGCUCCUGUUUCCCAGCCAGAAAUGCAGGCCUGAAAAAAGCUGCUUCUCUAUAUUGACACAAAGCUUUGUCUUGAUAAUUCAUUGGAGUGUUGAGAAAAUGGAACACAGAAGUCUCAGAGUUGGUGCAGCCCAUUUUGGAAGCACCUGGAGGCUCCACAUCCAUUCCAGGGAAAAUGAAUUACGCUGCAGGUUCUGAAGAAGAUCAUGACUUUAGCAGGAACCACUCUCACUAGGGCCCUUUGGUCAGGAUCAGCCAAAGGAAGAAAAAGGAGGAGAGAAGAGAUGCUUUUCAGUUAUCAUAGGAUUUUAAUUACUCCAAGAAUAGGUCUUGAGUUGAUGAUGGGAAGGAGUUGGGUGAGAAAUUUUACGAAGUUAUAAUACAUUUUUAUGAUCACUCACCUUGUCAGCUCCUGUCUGCUUGACAAGGACAUUAUCCCCUCAGUUAAAUAAGAAAUAAAAUGAGGAAAUUACCUGAAGCAAUGGGCUGAUAUGUUACAGAAGUGUGGGGAGUAACAUUAAAAUGCAUUUGUAACUGGCCACCUCCAUGGCUCCAAGUGGAAGCUGAUGCAGGCCUUCUCAGUCCCAGGGCUUUUGUGAGAGUUGGUCCCUCAUGACCACACUUGGCAACCCAGGCCUGAGACCCUGGGGACCCCACCCGGGAAAAAUUCCUUUUAAAGAGUCACAGCCUCUCUAACAUGGACAGUCUAGCAACAAUCACCUCUGGGCACAGGGUCAGAUGCAUUCACAUCUGUGACAGGAGUAUGGAGGAGUCCAGCACCAAAGGGGGUGUAAGUUGGCAACUGUCACCACAAUAAUCUAACUAUUACUCUGCUUCUGUCCCCUCCUGAAUAACUUCUUUUUUUAUUGAAGUAGAGUUGAUUUCCAAUGUUGUGUGUCAGGUGUGCAGAAAAGUGAUUCAGUUAUAACCCUGCAUGUGUAUAUCUAUUCUUUUCCAGAUUCUUUUCCACUAUAGGUUCUUAAAAGAUGCUGAUAUGUUGUAUAUUU